rnacentral:rRNA from 1 species
UACGAAGGGGGCUAGCGUUGCUCGGAAUUACUGGGCGUAAAGGGCGCGUAGGCGGAUAGUUUAGUCAGAGGUAAAAGCCCAGGGCUCAACCUUGGAACUGCCUUUGAUACUGGCUAUCUUGAGUACGGGAGAGGUGUGUGGAAGCUCCGAGUGUAGAGGUGAAAUUCGUAGAUAUUCGGAAGAACACCAGUGGCGAAGGCGACACACUGGCCGUUACUGACGCCUGAGGCGCGAAAGCGUGGGGAGCAAACAGG